CUCCGUGGGUACCGUCCGGGACAGCGGGGAUGGCUCCUGGGAAGUGGGUCGGCCUCCUGUGCGUCUGGCUCCGGACAGCCGCCUGGCGUCUGGGCCCUGGGUCUUCCGUUCUCUCCCUUGGGUCACCGAGGACAGUACCGGUCGUCCGGAGUACCGGGGCCGCGACCGUCUGAGCGAGGAGCUGACUCAGCGGCAGUGCUAGAUACAGCCUGAUGCCGGGGAAGGUUUGGCCAAACCAUAUGGGAGGCCUAGAACUUUCCUCAGCUCACACAGGCAGUAGUGGCCCUGCCAGGGCUUGACCCAAGCUGUCUGAUUCUACAGAUCAGCCUGGACCCACCAGACCCUGGUGACUCCCCAUCACUUACACAUCAGUGCACCAUUCCAAGCCAGUGUGUCCUCCGACCAGUGCCAUCGGACCCCACAGGCACAGAAACAUGCACAAACACCCCGAGCUGUCGGGCCUCUGGCUGGCUCUAGGAAAACAGAAAGCAGCUUAAGUUUCUUUGAUGGAACUAGAUGCACCGGAGCCUGUGUCCAGGAGAGCAAACCCGGGAGUGAGGGCCUGUGGCUGCCGCCAUGUGCAGAGUAGUCUUUUGAUUCCUAGUUGCCGAGAUCCUGGUUCUUGCAGGAGAAGAUGACCUGUGGGUUGGUGGUCCUACCCUCGUGUCCACAAGGAGUCCCUGGAUAGAUGACAAGGCUGCCGCAAGGCAAGGCUGCUCCUUGCUGGACCCGCUGAAGAGGCAGCUGUGAUCUGGUCGACGGGAGGCGAAUGAGGCCCCAAGCUCAGGAACCCGGUAUGUUGUUUGGAUGUGCCCCGACUGCCUACUCCUCCACGGAAAACUGCGCUGUGGAGCCCGAUGCUUGUGACUCAUCACUGGAAUGUGUGACAGGAAAGGAUUGUCCAGUAAAGAGGCGGAAGCAAGGGCACCAGAGGGCAAAGGGUGGGGCUCUUGGCCCUUCUCCAGUCCCUAUGGGAUUUCUGCCCCUGGUUGUAGGGCUUGGGGACUGUCCUUCCUCCUCCUCCCCACCCCUCCCUCACCCUCUACCACCGCCCCCCCACACUCCCCCUGCAUGUGGGCACACUCUGGACUGCUGGUGCUUGUUGCCAGCAGCAGGGGGACCGCUGGGGCUCUGGGUCUGAGGUCUCCUCUGCAUCUGGCCCUGGGCUGUAGGUGACGCACUCUGUGUCUCUUAGUUCCACUAGCCAUUGUUCCUGGGGUCAGAGGAAGCAGAGCCUGCUCAGAGCCAGGCUCUGGAGCACCCCACAUCUGGAUGGUCUGGGGGCCUGGCUCACUCUAGGUCAGUGCGGGAGAAACGCCACGGGAACUGUUGAUGUUGGGCUCUGUUUCUGACGGGAAAAGGUGCACCCAGAGUCAGGGAAUGGCUUCACUGGAUGUGCGAUAAGGGGGAUAAGGAGUGCCCCAGCCACACAGGGAGUGAUUUUUCCCGGCUUCUUCCUUUCAGGCGGCCGCCACAGGCAACACCCAUUUCCCCUCACAUCCUACCUUUCCUCCGUGAUGGUGGGUCUGGUUUCUGGAACAUCUGCUUACAAGGGAAGCUGUCUGUGGUCUGUUCUAGUCCUGGAGCAAGACAAGGACAGCCUUGUUGCAGUCCUGGAAAAGUGUGAGUCUUAAGCAUCGCCACGUGUGCUGUAAUGCUUUUGCAGUGGGGGCCGUUGGAGUGCCCUAGCCUGCCCAGGUGCUGUACCCCACCACAUCCCUCCAGGCAGCUGGCUUCUCUUCACUUCCUUUUACACAUCUGACAAGUGACAAACAGCACGAACCCUCGGGGGUCUUCAGGAGGUCCCACGUGGGAGUGAAGGCGGGGGCUGAAGCUGGUCUGUCUGAUUCCAGAGCUCAUGCAUGCACCCCUUGACUGGAGCCCCCUCAUCAAGCAGGCAUCAUGGAUGACCAUUUCUCCAGUCCCGAUGCCCAGCUCCCCGGCUCCCUGUGAGGGUCCCACGCCGCCCACUAGGUCUGAGUUGGCUGCUCUCCUGAGGCCCACACAGGCCACCCUGGGCUCCAGGCUGCUCAGAAGGUGGAAGACAGAGGCAGUAGUCGCCCCACAUCAUCCCAUGUCGCAUGUGUUGUAGCCUGGGGACAACCACACAGCUGUUCGUGGGAACUCUUCUCCCAGAUGCAAGGACACGAGAGGCGCUGCAGCUGGGGCAGAAUCUGCUCAGCUGUCACGGCCUCAGGUCCCAAGGCACAACCUCUCCUGGUCACUUAACCUUGCUCUGCCUUCGGGAGAAGGAAAUUCCCUCCAAUUCCUACUUUACCAGAGACCUUUUGGAAAGCUAUGGUCAACUUCAUCAAUUACUUCCCCUACAGCUUUGAGAAUGCAGAUGGCUUUUCUCCUUUAGUCUCUUACUAUGGUCAGUUGCACUGACUGCUUUUACAUAGGAAACCAACCUUGUAGUUUCUGCUGCAAGUUUCUGCUUCCACUUGGUCAUUCUAGAGGAUCUUUUUAAAUUUGGUUAUGAUUGAUUUUCUAGUAAUGUUCAAGAUUGCCAUAUCUGUGUUUGUGAGGAAUAGUAAUCUGUACAUUUAUUAUUAUAUUUUGGUAAGAAGGUUGUGCUAACCUCAUUGAAUGGAUUUGGAGGAUGUACCUCCUUCUCUAUUGUCUGAGAGUUUAUAGGACCCUGGUAUCAUAACUUCUAUGUGUGAUGAAAUUCACCAGGAGAAAUCUUUGAACCUACAAUUUUCUUCCUAAAAAGGUGUUUAUAGGGACGCCUGAGUGGCUCAGUCGUUAAGCAUCUGCCUUUGGCUCAGGUUAUGAUCUCGGGGUCCUGGGAUUGAGUCACACUUGGUCACACUUGGUCUCCCUGCUCCACUGGGAAGCCUGCUUCCCCGUCUCCCACUUUCCCUGCUUGUGUUCCCUCUCUCGCUGUCUCCCUCUCGGUCAAAGAAAUAAAAUCUUUUUUAAAAAAAGGUGUUUAUAAUCACCUUAUCCUUUGUAUGUCUUCUAAUCUAUAGCAAUGUUCUCCCUUUUCCCGGAUAUUGAUAAUUAAAAUUUCACUUUUUAUUUCAUGAUUGAUCUUAGUAGACAUUUAUCAAUUAUAUUAGUCUUUUACAACUCUAACUUUAGCUUUAUUAAUAUUCUGUGCUAUUUUCAUUUCCAUACCAAUAUUUGUUAUCUAUUUCUAUUUUGUAACAAAUGUGCUUUCUCUUGUCUUUUUAGGAUAGAAAGUUAUAUCCAAGUUUUUAGAUCUUUCUUAUUUUUUAAAAUAAACACUUAAAGAUGCAACAUUCCUUUACUCACUGCUCUAACCACAUUCUACAAAUUUGGUUUCCUCUGGGUUACUUGGGUGGCUCAGUCUGUUAAGCCUUUGCCUUCAGCUCAGGUCAUAAUCCUGGGGUCCUGGGUUCGAGUGCUGGAGUCAGAGUUGGACUCCCUACUCAGCAGGAAGUCUGCUUCUUCCCUAGCCUGCUGGUUCUUCUGCUUGUGCUCUCUCUGUCAAAUAAAUAAAAUCUUAAAUUUUUUUUAUUUGCUUUGUUUCAGUUAUCAUUCAGUUCAAAUUAUAUCUAACUUUUUAUUGUUCAUUCUUUGAUCCACUGGUUAUGUGAAUGUAUGUUUUCCUUUAUUUCUAAAUAUUUGCAGAUUUCCUAGAUAUCUUAGUUAUUGGUUUCUGGUUUAAUCCCACCAUGUUCAGAGAAAAAAACUGUAUCUAUGUUCAACUUUGGAAAUUUGUUGAAACACAUUUUGACCCAAUAAAUACCUAAC